GCAGUUCAAACCAAACCAAACCAAACCAAGCACCCGCUCCAAUCCCUUUCGCCCGCAUUUAAGCGCGUCUGCCCCUAACCGCACUCACGAAAGCUUCUGGCCACCUCGCACUAUCGCGCGCCUCCAAAAAUGCACAGGCAGCUCAGCCUCUCGGCAAGCCCGAGGCAGCAGCAGGGGCAGCAGGACGACGGCAGCGGCAGCGGCAGCGGCAUCGGCAUCGGCAUCGGCGGCGACGCGGCGCAGGCGAUGGCGGUCGGCGAGGACGAGUCGGCCUCGCACUCCAAGGCCGACAGGGCGCGGUCGGCGAUGAGGGAGGAGAGGGCCAUCCACCUCAUCCCGCUGCUCACCUUCGUCUGCUUCCUCCUGCUCUUCCUCUGCUCGCACGACCCUUCCGCCUCUGAUAUGUCGAGCUUCGCUGGAGGCGGGGGACUGAGAUCCGGGAACCGGAGGUUGAGGAUGCUAUAGAAAUUCUUGGCAGUUAUCAGAUGCGUGUCCGUCCAACGUCUUUCAUUUUCAAUCACUGUAUCUUGCGCUCAAAUAUGGUGCAGCAUUUAAAGUUGUACUUGUCCGGCAGUAAGAAAAGCAUGGGGCUUCAGUUCAUGCCGCUGGUUGCUUUCCUUGAAACACGACAUGAAGAGAUGGUAUAACAUGAAGAUAAGGACCCUUGGGAUAAUGUGCUUACACAAUGGCUGAUAUUUGUGGCCAUAUGGGACAAUUAUACUGUCCAAUGUAGAUGGAGGGUGAUGGCCAAACAAACCGAGCGUUGCCCACACUUCGAGCAGUGGAUAAUGGUCCAAAUUCACAACCUUACAGCUGAGACAUGAUUUGCAUACAAAAUAUUUUUUUA